AUGCGACCCCAGGACAGGCGAGGCCACCCGCCGAGUUUAAGCAUAUCAAUAAGCGGAGGAGAAGAAACUUACGAGGAUUCCCCUAGUAACGGCGAGU
rnacentral:rRNA from 1 species